UACGUAGGGCGCAAGCGUUAUCCGGAAUUAUUGGGCGUAAAGAGCUCGUAGGCGGUUUGUCGCGUCUGCCGUGAAAGCCCGGGGCUCAACCCCGGGAGGCGGAUGGAUACUGCAUGGCUCGAGUACGGAAGAGGCGAGUGGAAUUCCCGGUGUAGCGGUGAAAUGCGCAGAUAUCGGGAGGAACACCAAUGGCGAAGGCAGCUCGCUGGGACGUUACUGACGCUGAGACGCGAAAGCGUGGGGAGCAAACAGG
rnacentral:rRNA from 1 species